GUUGUUAAAGGUUACUGAACUAGAAAAACAAACCAUAUGCCGUGGCUGGUGCAUUCCUAAUUACAGACGAGACUGUGUUUAGAACAAUUGUUUUCGUACCUCAACACUUCUCUGCGCCCCCACCAGGAAGUGGGCUGUUUCUCCUUGGCCACUCAGAAGCGAGGAUUACUGACAAUCCAGCAAGUGCUCUCAGCUUUCUUUUCCAUCCCAAACUAAUAUGAAACCAUUUCUCAAGUAUCAGCUUUUCCAACAAAAGUCUUUAGCGACUGCCAUUGCACCAUAAAAGCCAACUCCCCAGACCUGACCCCGAGGUAUGUGCUCUCUCCCGAUCAGAUUCCAGCGGAGAAUUCCAGUCUGUUGCUGGUUUCAAGGGGAGGAUGGAACAUGGAAGCUGGGGCUGUUCCUGUCGAGCAGGAGCCUACGUUGGUGUCAUGGAGACAGGGCCAUAGCACCAGGCGGUCACAGUGCUAUGGAGACUGGGAAGAGGAAUAUGGAAAUAUAA
rnacentral:lncRNA from 12 species